rnacentral:rRNA from 1 species
AGUGAACGCUGGCGGUAGGCCUAACACAUGCAAGUCGAACGGCAGCACAGUAAGAGCUUGCUCUUACGGGUGGCGAGUGGCGGACGGGUGAGGAAUACAUCGGAAGCUACUUUUUCGUGGGGGAUAACGUAGGGAAACUUACGCUAAUACCGCAUACGACCUACGGGUGAAAGCAGGGGAUCUUCGGACCUUGCGCGAGUGAAUGAGCCGAUGUCGGAUUAGCUAGUGGGCGGGGUAAAGGCCCACCAAGGCGACGAUCCGUAGCUGGUCUGAGAGGAUGAUCAGCCCCACUGGAACUGAGACACGGUCCAGACUCCUACGGGAGGCAGCAGUGGGGAAUAUUGGACACUGGGCGCAAGCCUGAUCCAGCCAUACCGCGUGGGUGAAGCAGGCCUUCUGGUUGUAAAGCCCUUUUGCUGGGAAAGAAAAGCAGCAGGUUAAUACCCCGCUGUUCUGACGGUACCCAAAGAAUAAGCACCGGCUAACUUCGUG